AACGAACGCUGGCGGCAGGCUUAACACAUGCAAGUCGAGCGCCCCGCAAGGGGAGCGGCAGACGGGUGAGUAACGCGUGGGAAUCUACCCAUCUCUACGGAAUAACGCAUGGAAACGUGUGCUAAUACCGUAUACGUCCUUCGGGAGAAAGAUUUAUCGGAGAUGGAUGAGCCCGCGUUGGAUUAGCUAGUUGGUGGGGUAAAGGCCUACCAAGGCGACGAUCCAUAGCUGGUCUGAGAGGAUGAUCAGCCACACUGGGACUGAGACACGGCCCAGACUCCUACGGGAGGCAGCAGUGGGGAAUAUUGGACAAUGGGCGCAAGCCUGAUCCAGCCAUGCCGCGUGAGUGAUGAAGGUCUUAGGAUUGUAAAGUUCUUUCACCGGGGACGAUAAUGACGGUACCCGGAGAAGAAGCCCCGGCUAACUUCGUGCCAGCAGCCGCAGUAAGAC
rnacentral:rRNA from 1 species